GUGGCCCCCCGCGCCGCAGCCGGCAUCGCGGCGGGACCCGGAGCCCGGAGUUCGGGUGGGUAACCCGAGCUCUCCAAGCUCUUGAAGCCGCGAGGGUGGCUUAGCUUCGGUGUUUUGGCUGAGAACACCCUUAAAGCUUAAAAUAAAACCUGCCUCUGGGGUGCAGGGGAGGAGAGAGGAGGACGCGAAUCACACCCGCUGCUGCGCGCCAGCCCGCCCCGUCUGUACAAUGGGAUGCUCGGGACUCGGACGGGAGGAUCCAGUGACUGCGAGCCCCGCAUUCGCCCGAUCCCAGCCUCACACCCCCAGCCAGCCCCCAGAGACCCUCCCACACUUACGAAGGAAAUGCAUGCGGCCAGGAGGAGAAUCCGCACCAGGAGGGAGCUCUACCCAGGAAAAAGAAGAAAAGGACAGAUUCAUUUGGGGUUCAGCCUCAUGCCCCCCACACCCAAGACUUUGUGGCUAAGAGAAUCAGGCCACCUUGAGGUUCAUCAAGUUCAUCCCAUUAAAACCUCCCAAAACUCUGGA
rnacentral:lncRNA from 1 species